GACGAACGCUGGCGGCGUGCUUAACACAUGCAAGUCGAACGGAAAGGCCCUGCUUUUGUGGGGGGCUCGAGUGGCGAACGGGUGAGUAACACGGGAGUAACCUGCCCUUGACUUUGGGAUAACUUCAGGAAACUGGGGCUAAUACCGGAUAGGAGCUCCUGCUCCAUGUUGGGGGUUGGAAAGUUUCGGCGGUUGGGGAUGGACUCGCGGCUUAUCAGCUUGUUGGUGGGGUAGUGGCUUACCAAGGCUUUGACGGGUAGCCGGCCUGAGAGGGUGACCGGCCACAUUGGGACUGAGAUACGGCCCAGACUCCUACGGGAGGCAGCAGUGGGGAAUAUUGCACAAUGGGCGGAAGCCUGAUGCAGCAACGCCGCGUGCGGGAUGACGGCCUUCGGGUUGUAAACCGCUUUCGCCUGUGACGAAGCGUGAGUGACGGUAAUGGGUAAAGAAGCACCGGCUAACUACGUG
rnacentral:rRNA from 1 species